UACAGAGGGGGGCAAGCGUUAUUCGGAAUUAUUGGGCGUAAAGGGCGCGUAGGCGGCUUGGCAAGUGGAAGGUGAAAUCCCUCGGCUUAACCGAGGAACGGCCCUCCAAACUGCUUUGCUUGAGGCCGGGAGAGGCGAGUGGAAUUCCCAGUGUAGCGGUGAAAAUGCGUAGAUAUUGGGAGGAACACCAGUGGCGAAGGCGGCAUCCUGGACCGACACUGACGCUGAGGCGCGAAAGCUAGGGUAGCAAACGGG
rnacentral:rRNA from 1 species